GGAGGCACUGGGGGAGGCACUGGAGGAGGCACUGGAGGGGGCACCGGAGGUGGCACUGGAAAUAACUGUCGGGAUUCCAACGGCAGGUGCCCCUCCUGGGCAAGAAGAGGAGAGUGUACUAGGAACCCACGGUAUAUGCUGCGCUUCUGUAGACUGAGCUGUCGGCAGUGCUCCACUAACAUUAAGACGGGUGAAGGCGGCGGUGAAGGUGGAACCAGUUGUACCGACGUGCGCGGCAAAUUCUUCUGUGGAUAUUGGGCCGAUAGAGGUCUCUGCACGUCUCGAAGACAAUACAUGUCGCAACACUGUAAACAAAGCUGUAGACUUUGCUAAAUAAAAAAAAAGCAUCUGUAAUUGAAAGAGGAUUCACUAAAUGAUACGGUCAUGACAUAAAGACAUGGCCGUGGCCUUUCUGUGGCUUCUUGUGCGCGAUUGCAAAUCAAACUGAAUGUUCAAAUAUAAUUUGGGAACCACGUAAUUCGGAAGAAAUUAGAGUCGAGUAGAGUUGUAAAACUCUUUUUUU